CGGAGUAGGAAAUAAAGCGUCAAGUGCCAGUGGAACGCAAUGUGAACGCCGGACGAAGGGCAAUUGGCCCGCGAUUUUAUUUCCGCAUUGGC
rnacentral:ncRNA from 1 species